GUGCCAGCCCGGUAAUACGGAGGGUGCAAACGUUGCUCGGAAUCAUUGGGCGUAAAGCGCGCGUAGGCGGCGAAGCAAGUUGGAUGUGAAAGCCCCGGGCUCAACCUGGGAAUGGCAUUGGAAACUGGCGAGCUAGAGUGUGGCAGAGGGGGGUGGAAUUCCGCGUGUAGCAGUGAAAUGCGUAGAGAUGCGGAGGAACACCGAUGGCGAAGGCAGCCCCCUGGGCCAACACUGACGCUCAGGCACGAAAGCGUGGGGAGCAAACAGG
rnacentral:rRNA from 1 species